GAUACUACCAGCUUUAUUCUUUUUCCAUCCAGAUUUCUCUGACCAGUCAGGAGUUUUGGGAUUAUAAUCAAAUUCUAUGAUUGCUUUUCUCCCCUAUUUUUAUGGAAAAUGCCAUUGGAGUUCUGGACAAAGAGUGCACUGAAUCUAGAGAUCACUUUAGGUGUCAGUGUGGCCAUUGUCACGAUACUACGUUUUCCAGUCUGUCAACAUGGAUUGUUUUUCCAUCCAUCUGUGUUAACUUCCUCUGCCAAUUUUCAGUGUGUAGGAUUUUUCACCUUCCUGGUAGAUGGUGUGUGUGCAUUUGAACCCAAAGCCACAGACAUGUAUGCCAAGCAAUCGCCUUACCAUUGACUUAGAUUCCCAACCAUCUUCAGUUAAAGUAUUCCUACCUACUUACAGUUUUUAUGAAGGCAAGCAUACCCAAGGAGAAGUGGAGAGAAACAUAUGUGGUCUGUGGCAGAACAGCUACGUGACUGUAGUAGCCAGAAGGCAUUUUUGUCCACUCCCCACCCCAUAUUUUUCCUUCUGGAUGUAGCAUCUUCUCUUUCUGAUCUUUAGAAUUACUCCUUGUUCAUUCUUAAUCAACCAUCCCCAUUGAUCUGAUCCGACCAAUCAGAAUACUCCUUCCAAUUUUCUCCCUGUAGCGAUUGGCUCAGAAGUGGGCACCUGGCACAAUCCAGGCUUUUAGGAUCAAUCAUGAGGCAGAGAACUGCUGAGAAAGACAUCUAUACUUUUCUCCCUGGUCAUUGGCUGAAAGGACUAAAAGGCUCUGUGCUAUUUGCUACGAAGAAUCUUUUCAAAGUCACCUGUUUAAGCAAUCCUUCUUGAGUGGAGAAGAGUGAAUUUGCUCUUUAACUUUAAAAAGAAAGUGAAUUCUGUUUCACCUGUAUGGGUGUUUUAUCUGCAUGUAUAUCUGUGUAGUCCUUAGCGGUCCAGUGCUCAAGGAUGUCAGAAUACAGAGGGGAUUGGGGGCUGGAGUUAUAGACAACUGUGGCCAUUGUUUUUGAGUGCUGAGAAUCAGACCCAAUUCUCCUGGCCGAGCAGGUAGCGUCUUUACCGGAUGAGCUGUCUGUCCAGCCCUCAGAGUUUGCUCUUCAAUUAUUUAUUAUCAUGCAUUAGUUGUGUGUAUUAUUCUGUUUUGGUGGAAUAUUUCUAUAUAUGCAAACACUGUGCACCGGUCAAACACAUCUUCUUCUUUUCUCCCCACCUGUGAGAGUAAGCAUCUGACUGUGAUGCUCAUUGACUGAUUUCAGCUAUACAGGAGGCAAACUGAUCCCAGGGCUUUUGGGUUAUGUACACUGAUAAAUUCGUGUGGCUUCAGCAAGGCUGAGUUAUCUCCUAUAACCCAAAGCAUUCUGGGUAAUAAGCACGCUGCCCACAUAAACAUUAAUGUGAAGACAGUUGAUCAGAAGUUGCAAUCUUCUCCCAGGAAUAUUUUCAAGGUUUUGAGUACAUGAAAAUCCUCGAGUGUCCCUCCUCUGAGUACAUGGAGUGAACCCUGAAGAAAGGGAGCUCUGGCUUAGCGAGACUUGAGAUGAGGCAUCCUGGGUUGGUUCUGCUUUGUUUCUGAAAGUUAAUUCUUAUACAUUUUAUCAUUCCAUUGUCUCAGUCCCUCUCCCGCUGCUGCAAGAAAAUACUGCAAACCAUGUGGCUUGUGAAUAUCAUUAUGUCUCACAGUUCUGGAAGCUACAGUCCAAAAUCACAGCCCCAGCAGAUUUGGUGUGUGGUAACCCUACUUUCCGCUUUGUGGACAGCGCUUUCAAGUUUGUCCUCCGAUGGUUGAGGUGGAAGGGGCAGGGCUGUUUGAAGGUUCCCCAGGCCUCUACACUCAGGAUCCAAACAUUUCCCAAAGGUCCUGACAACUAAUGCACACUGGUGGAUAGUUUCAACAUGGGAAUGGGGAGGGAGAGGGAGGAACAGCAGAUUUGGAUGCUGGGAAGGAUAGAAAAUACUUGUCAAGUUGGAUAAUGUUUUUUCCAUCCAUCCAUCCAUCCAUCCAUCCAUCCAUCCAUCCAUCCAUCCACCCAUCCAUCCAUCCAUCCAAAUGCCUGUUAAUUACAAAUUUCCUGAGUUUAAGGGCUAAGUAUAAGGCUGCCUGAGAGAGUUUGACCUGGGCCACAGGUCAAAUUGAAAAGGCACUUUUCUCUCUAGAAGAUGGGGUUCAUCCAAGUGCCCUCUGUAUUGCUUGCAAAGUGAUGAAAUCCAACUGAGUUCUUAAGUUGAACGCUCCUUUGAACCCCAUUACUUGAUGAUUUACACAAUUUUCAAAAUAGGGUAACACCCAGAGGGUUGUCUGGUUCAAUUUCCUCCCGAAAUCCAGACUUGGGGAUUUCCUUAAAGACCUGCCAUUCUUUUCCUUCCUGUGGUGACGGUUUCACCAGUGCCGAGGUGGCUGAUGGGUCUGGACCGAAGAAGAUACUGGGCGGAAACCACAGGUACAGGCAUCCGGUCCAGUUAAGAUCGGAAGGAGCUUGUGUGGUAAUUGGCAUUGUGAGUGUUCAUCCAGGUGUGGCAAAUGGGAGAAAGGAGAAAGGGCGCAGGACACCUGCCUGCGUUUUUUCUUUCUCAACAGCUGAUCUUCAACGAUUCGGGUGGAUUUAGAGUUACCUAGGAGACACAGCUUUAUGCGCGCCCGUGAGAGCGUUUUCAGAGAGGUUUAACUGAAGAGGUACAUCGGAGCCCAGAUGUGUGCGGCCCUACCUCAUAGGCUGGGAUCCCUGGACUUUAUAAAAGCAUAAACACAAGAAAGCAAAAUGAGUACCAGAAUUCUGCUCUCCACAGAGGCGAUGUGACCAGCUGCCAAAUGCUUCUGCAGCCAUGACUUCCCACCAGGAUGGACCAAAUCACCUCAAACCACAGGGAUCCAAACGUUUCAUUCAAGCUCUUUUUCCAUCAUAGUGCGUCAUAAGACAAUGAGCGGUAGAAAGGAAGCUAGGAGAAGAGUGGAGGUUGUUCCUUCAUUUCUGGGGAUCCGUGAGCAUGGAACGGGGCUAACCGGCUGCAUGAGGAAGUUCCUAAGGGAGCCACGGCAGGACUACUUGAUUGCAGAAGAGCUGAGCGCUGACCACCAUGAAGCAUAGAGCAACUCUGUCUGAAGGUUUGGUUCAUGUCAAACCAUUGCCCCAUGAUUACAUCAGAUGCCUUUCUUUCUCUUCACCUUUCGCACAGAUACACACACACACACACACACACACACACACACACACACACACUACUUUGAAUUUAAUAAUUCUUCAAAGUAUGCUUUCAUUUUGUUACAAUAUCUACCUGUCCUUGAGAACUGUUGUAAUGCUUAACUAAUGAAGACAGACGGGUACAAAAUGCUCCCCAUGGUGCUGAUUCACAUGAAGCCACUCACACCCUUCGCCUGUCACUGUGAAUCAGAGCCCUGUUGGCUUUCAUUAGCCUCUGCGAGACCGUUGCCUUGAAGGACAAUUGAAUUUCAAACAUCCGCCAACUGAGGAAUUAACAAGGUGUAGUGUAUUAUCUAUAGCGAAAAAAAUUUUUUUUAUUAACUUGA